ensembl:snoRNA U8 U8 small nucleolar RNA
CCACCAGGUAGGAUAAUCCUUGUCUGUUCCUCUAUUCAGAGGGUAGAUAGAACAUGAUGAUUAGAGUUGGCAUGAUUUGUGAUUAAUGUUUCUGCAUGAUUAGGGCUUGUAUAACCCUAAUUGCUCCUAUCUGAU